CCAAUGCGAUCAACUUUGCUACAUAGUAAAUUAUCGUUGUCACGAAAUGAAGCCACGCAUUGAGCGCUGAAGAAAAUAAAUAUAUUUAUUAGAAUAGCUGUAUAGCGGUAGUGGUAUGUAUAUAUAUAUAUAUAUAUGUAUAUGUGUGUGUGUGUCAAAAUAUUGUUUCUCGGAAACAACUUUCAAUGCGCCGUGUUUUAUGAAAGCGCGCAGGGCUGUCUGUGCUUUCGACAUC
rnacentral:lncRNA from 1 species